rnacentral:lncRNA from 1 species
AAAGAAACUUUCACCUAACAUAAGUUUGCAAGUUGCCAUCUCCGAAAGUGGAUUGUCCAAUUGAGACCACGGUAUUCCUUCCUUUCACAUAAGGAAAGACAACCAUGUCUUUGUCUGCCAACAUAGCUAGGGAAGCAAAAUAAGAAAUUAAACUAAAUAGUCUAUCUUCAUUGAUCAAAGAAAGACCAAACUUAUCAGAGUAGAGUCCGCCAUUAGAUUUGUUUCACGAUGAAUAUCUCUUACAACAAAAUGAGUCAAAUAGUGCAAAGUAUCAGAAAUAAGUGAAACCAAAUUGAAACUCACAUGAGUUAAGUACAAACAUUGAUUAAUAAACAUCCCGUAGCUAACUUCCACAAGAAGCAGCUAAGCCUCUCAUGCCCCUUCCACCUUCAAACAAGACUAAAGUGUAUCCUUUAAUACCAUCAUAAGUUGAUAUAGUAGAGAAGUUCCCAUUCAGGUUCCCUAGCCCAGAUCAAUAAAUUCAUGCAUGCACCUCUUAUCUAGGGAGCAUAGUCAAAGCAAAUCUUCCUGUAAAAGACAAGUUUACCAAAAAAAACAUCUUUUCCACCUUAUCAAGAAUGAGUUGGAAAGUAUUUUUUGCUGAAUAUGGAGCAUAGGGACCCCAGGAUAUGCC